UACGAAGGGGGCUAGCGUUGCUCGGAAUCACUGGGCGUAAAGGGUGCGUAGGCGGGUCUUUAAGUCAGGGGUGAAAUCCUGGAGCUCAACUCCAGAACUGCCUUUGAUACUGAAGAUCUUGAGUUCGGGAGAGGUGAGUGGAACUGCGAGUGUAGAGGUGAAAUUCGUAGAUAGUUCGCAAGAACACCAGUGGCGAAGGCGGCUCACUGCCCGAUACUGACGCUGAUGCACGAAAGCGUGGGGAGCAAACAGG
rnacentral:rRNA from 1 species